CCGAGUGAGGGCCCGAGGGCCCGACCUCCAACCCUUUGUUGACCAACACUGUUGCCUCGGGGGUGACCCGGCCUCGGCGCCGGGGCCCCCGGUGGACCAUUUCAACUCUGCAUCUGUACGUCGGAGUUCUUUGCGAAUCAAUUA
rnacentral:misc_RNA from 1 species